UAAAAGUCGUAACAAGGUUUCCGUAGGUGAACCUGCGGAAGGAUCAUUAGUGAAUAUAGGACGUCCAACUUAACUUGGAGUCCGAACUCUCACUUUCUAACCCUGUGCACUUGUUUGGGAUAGUAACUCUCGCAAGAGAGCGAACUCCUAUUCACUUAUAAACACAAAGUCUAUGAAUGUAUUAAAUUUUAUAACAAAAUAAAACUUUCAACAACGGAUCUCUUGGCUCUCGCAUCGAUGAAGAACGCAGCGAAAUGCGAUAAGUAAUGUGAAUUGCAGAAUUCAGUGAAUCAUCGAAUCUUUGAACGCACCUUGCGCUCCAUGGUAUUCCGUGGAGCAUGCCUGUUUGAGUGUCAUGAAUACUUCAACCCUCCUCUUUCUUAAUGAUUGAAGAGGUGUUUGGUUUCUGAGCGCUGCUGGCCUUUACGGUCUAGCUCGUUCGUAAUGCAUUAGCAUCCGCAAUCGAACUUCGGAUUGACUUGGCGUAAUAGACUAUUCGCUGAGGAAUUCUAGUCUUCGGAUUAGAGCCGAGUUGGGUUAAAGGAAGCUUCUAAUCAGAAUGUCUACAUUUUAAGAUUAGAUCUCAAAUCAGGUAGGACUACCCGCUGAACUUAAGCAUAUCAAUA
rnacentral:rRNA from 1 species